rnacentral:sRNA from 1 species
GGUAUCGAGUGGAGAGUCUCAGCUCAGUCUCAGCCGGCCUCAGAGGCCUCUAAGGAGGUCUCAGAGGCUGGGCGGCACCGGCUUUUGCAUAAAUACGGAGUGCCCAUGAUGCUCGAUAAGACGAGGAGAGUUAUUGGCGCCUUUAAAUAACCAAUGGCCACCAUGUUCCCGCUGCUAUCGGAAACAGGAAAGAACUUGCUCACUUAUAGGGGCUAGAUGAGGAUUGCCACCUCCACAUAUAGACAUGUGGCUACAACAACAUGGCCCAAUCAAACAACAAUUGCGGCUCCUAGGAGCUCAUGGAGUCCAAUAAGUAGAUCGGUUAAUAUGGGAGCUAUAUCAGGAUAUAGACCGAUUCGGAUCAUAUAAAAAGCAAUUUGUGCA